rnacentral:lncRNA from 1 species
AACUGCUUACUAGGUCCUGCUGUGUCACAGGUCUUUGCAUUUCCAUUGAGGAGCCAUAUGGAGGGCUGCAAAUAGCACCAGACACGCAUCUCCGAGCGCUGUGUGUGGUGGAUCUCGGGAGUCCGGUGUGCAGGGGGCAGUCAUCGUGUGAACAGUGGUACAAACUGCAAGAAAUCUCUUCUCCAAACUACUGAAUGUAGGAACAAGCUGUGAAGAAUGAUUCAGUUGGACACUCUGUUUCCUUCAUUUGAGCUCAUUUUAUUACUUUGCCUAGUUUUUGGAUCCAGAGCUUUGGAACAGCCGUGCUGCUACAACUCUCAGUCCUUUCCUUCAUCAAGGGUCGUUUCCAUUUCAAAAUGUUGCUGUACUUUGUUCCUGAAGGCCUCUGAUAAGGUUGUGCACCACCUCAGCCAUUUUUACCACAACUUCAAAAAGGUAUCUGGCAUGUGA